rnacentral:rRNA from 1 species
UACGUAGGGGGCUAGCGUUGUCUGGAAUCAUUGGGCGUAAAGCGCGUGUAGGCGGCCCGAUAAGUCCGCUGUGAAAGUCCAGGGCUCAACCCUGGGAUGCCGGUGGAUACUGUCGGGCUCGAGUCCGGAAGAGGCGAGUGGAAUUCCUGGUGUAGCGGUGAAAUGCGCAGAUAUCAGGAGGAACACCAAUGGCGAAGGCAGCUCGCUGGGACGUGACUGACGCUGAGACGCGAAAGCGUGGGGAGCGAACAGG